rnacentral:misc_RNA from 1 species
GAUGAAGAACGCAGCGAAAUGCGAUAAGUAAUGUGAAUUGCAGAAUUCAGUGAAUCAUCGAAUUUUUGAACGCACCUUGCGCCCCUUGGUAUUCCGAGGAGCAUGCCUGUUUGAGUGUCAGUAAAUUCUCAAACCCUUCCAGCUUUUUGUAGUUGGCUCUGGGUCUUGGAUGUGGAGGUGUUGCAGGCCUUUUUGAGGUCAGCUCCCCUGAAAUACAUUAGCAGACCCGUUUGCAAUCCAUCACAGGUGUGAUAAUUAUCUACGCCAGUGGGUUGCUCUCUGUCACUGUUCAGCUUACAAUUGUCCCAUUCUUGUGGACCAACUAUUGCUGAUUCUUUGACCUCAAAUCAGGUAGGACUACCCGCUGAACUUAAGCAUAUCAAUAAGCGGAGGA